rnacentral:rRNA from 1 species
CUUGCUUGGGGUACUCGAGUGGCGAACGGGUGAGUAAUACGUGGGUAACCUGCCCUCUUCUUUGGGAUAAGCCCCGGAAACGGGGUCUAAUACCGGAUAUUCUGCUUCUGCCGCAUGGUGGGGGUUGGAAAGGUUUUUCGGUGGGGGAUGGGCCCGCGGCCUAUCAGCUUGUUGGUGGGGUGAUGGCCUACCAAGGCUUCGACGGGUAGCCGGCCUGAGAGGGUGACCGGCCACAUUGGGACUGAGAUACGGCCCAGACUCCUACGGGAGGCAGCAGGU